AUUGGGAUACGCCAGUGCCAGUUGUUAACCAGUUGGAACAUCACUCCUGGGAGUGGAAAGCUGUCAUAAAUGGACUGAAUCAGAAACUUUGAGAGUGGGACUGGAGCAUCUUUAUUUUUGGACGACUUGCCAUAUUGGGAGCCACGGACAAAGGCCUUUUGCUGUUCCUGCUCUCUGAAUAUCUGCUGAGAAAGCGAUCAGACCACACCUGAAGCUUUGUUUUCAAUUCCUUGUUACUACAAGAAUUCAAGCAUGAACUGACAUGUUUCGGGGAUACUGGGGAAGGAUUCACGCAUUUGGAAACAGAUGGAAUUUUAAGACUUUCGAGAUUUUUUCCACUUUUAAGAUGCUAUAUUCUCCAAUUUUAUGUGUUACUCUUGGACAUUCAAAAACAAUCAUAUUAUGUAUGAAGACACCAAGGCUCAGAGAGCUUAAGUGACAUGCCCAAGGCCAUACAAUUUAUUAAUGGCAGAAUUUUGUUUAGAAGACACUUCACAAUCCACACAUUAAAGUGGAUGUAGACAGACUGACGUGUUCACAGGACAGUGACAUGGAUCGUUAAGGCAGAAUCAGUCAGUUCCAAGUGACUGACGAUUACAGAACCAGAAAACUUCGUGAGAGCAAGCAUACGUCAUACUCUUAUCAAAUCAAAGUGUCACAGGAAGGAGAAUGCCACUUGCCGUGAUGAGUUGAAAUGACUCUAACUACACAGAGAAUUGGUGGAGACCUUUCUUUUUUUUCUUUCAGAAUAUAAAUAAGAAUUUUCUGAUGUGAAGAACUGUCUAAAGAUAGUUGAAGGUGACUCAGGAGAAAGAGGAGGUACAAAGAUCUCUAAUUGUUCCUGGCCUCUCUUCUUCCCUUCCUCAUCGGCAGAACACCCAGGUUUUGGCCAGGCACCAGUGGAGACUACAUUGCCCGGCCCCUUGGCAGCAAGCUGAGGCCUGUUACUUCUUCAUUUACAGGAUAAUUCAUCUUUUUUUUACAAACUUGCUAAAGGUUGGUAGCUAUAUAAUGAAUCCAACUGUCAUGUGUCACAGGGUUUCUAUGAUUCAGAAGCAGAAACCUGGACGGACUGACUACUGAGGCUCCACCGCUGACUUGCUUCUCGCCCAGAGGUAUAGCACUGCCUACUGUUCUGUCCUUAGAAGCUCGGGUGGGUGCUGAAACGGCACUCAGAGAGACUUAGGAAGAACCAGAAGAAGUAAGCAGGCGUUAUCUAAUGUCACAAAGGUAACUGGUGGAGGAAUUAAAAUAGAACUAGCACUUUGUUGGGAGUUUAGGUAAGUUAAAACUUCAUCUGCCAUCAUAGCAAGCCAAUGGGUAAAAUCAAUCAACCAAGAAUUGGGGACAUAGAAAGUCCAUAUUUUUAGAGAAGUGGAGGUCCUCACCCAAAAAACUACCAACACCGUUGAUAGCGGCUGCCUCUUUAGGGGCAGUGCUGAGCGGGGUGUGCAGGAGACAGGCAUUCUUGCUUUCAAUUUUAAGCACUCUGAAUUAUUUUAUUUUUAAAUAUGAGCACACGUUACUUUAGCAAAAAUGCACACGCAUACGAAUGGCUCGGGCUCUGGUUCUGAGCAAUGCUAAACGCUUUUCCAAUGUGGGUAGAGUCUGCAAAACAAUCUGUAUAUAAUGGACGUAUUUCUACCCAGAGGCUAGACCGUUUCUAACAGAAACUUAAGUCGCCUUUGAUCUGGUCCAUCUCUGCCGUCAGAGGGGAAAAGUACUCCUCUCUAACCCAGCUGACUCGAGCUUUCACCCAAGCGCUUUGCUCAACGUACUAUUCUUGGAUUUCCUCAUGAAAAGUUAUUGGAGCUUUAUAUUAUAUUAGAACAUGAAUCUUUCUGUUAUAAAAAGAUUUAGCCAGGCACAAUUUUAGAAAGGGAUAUGUAUUUUUAAUUUGAAAAUUUUCUUGCAGUAUGGCAUUUUACUCCCAAAGAAGUGGCAUGUUGGAUGUUAAGACAACUCUAGUCAAUAACAGUACUAGACCAUGGGAGAACGAACCGCUGGCAGUUCCUGUGAAAACCUCCUACUAUGAGUGUCUGGUGUUUUCCUCUAGAUCUUGUUGAAACUGAAAACCAGAGAAAGAGGAAUGAAUUUCCUUUUUAACUCCACAAGACCUCUUGCUCACCUUAUCCAUGACAUUUAAAUACGUCAGGACAUCGCAUCUUCAAAACCAUUUCCUUAAGCAUUCUUUCUUUUGUAUUUCAUGAGUCACAAAUCAACCUUUUUCUUUUCAAUGUCAGAAUCACAGUUUUUUUCCUAUUAUUACCAAACUGAAGGUACGGUGUAGCAAAAUAACAUGUUUUUUACACCUAGCUGUCUUAAGGGUGGAGGGUCAUUUACUUCAAGCACCAGAAGAAUAUAUUUGCUCCCAUGGAAGAGGACUAAAAAACACAAUCCAGGGGAAAUCAGGACGCAUCUGUCAGAGGUUCCAAGGCCCUAAGACUUUUGGCAGCAUCGCCGAUGCGGACGUUCAAGUCAGAAGACCAGAUCUUGGCUUAGCUUUAAGGAGAGUGAGGUCUUUGUUGUGCUUCGAUGGAAACUGGCAAGGCUCUUUGAUAGGUGUUAAGGUUUGAAGGGAAUGAGAUAGUGACAUGAAAUUUGCAACUGUUAUUUUGAAAGAUCUUCAAAUCCAUAGAAAUAGCCCUAUUUCUGCUCCAAAAUGAGUCUUGGACAAAUAAUGUAUUACUUUUGCGUUCCUUUUACAUUUGUGCCCUUGUAUUUGUUUUUCCAUUUUUUCCCCAGCUGGGUUUCUAGUUUUUGUUUGGGUUCAGUUUUAGGUGGUUGUAAAAGGUCAAACCCUGGUGAAUAAUAUUCAGAAUGUCCAGUACCUUGGAACUUCUCUCUAAUAUAGGGAGCUUUUCUUGGUAACAUUCAUCAGCAAUACUCUAAUAUUCCGUCUAAGCUCUGGAAAUCUCAUUUUCACACUUCUAAAUAAAGAAAUCCCGAAUCUCA